AUUCAGCUGACAAGUUCAAAAUAGAACGAAGUGCGCAUCCUAGAU
rnacentral:hammerhead_ribozyme from 1 species